AGGGCUAGAAGAGGUGCGUUAAUCAGGUAGUAAACGUGAGGAGAACAAACUCCAGAGACCGUUUAUGAGGGGAAUUAACGCCGAGAAUGCGCAUUGUUUGUCUCAAUGUUAUUUCGGGCGCCUGGGCUGAAUCCCAGCGACUGUCACCAAUAACAGCUAAGCUGUUGUAAUUUUGGUGGAGAGCUUCUGGUCUU
rnacentral:ncRNA from 2 species